UACAGAGGUCUCAAGCGUUGUUCGGAUUCAUUGGGCGUAAAGGGUGCGUAGGUGGCGCCGUAAGUGGGGUGUGAAAUCCCGGGGCUUAACCCCGGGACUGCAUUCCAUACUGCGGUGCUUGAGGACUGGAGAGGAGACUGGAAUUUACGGUGUAGCAGUGAAAUGCGUAGAGAUCGGCAGGAACACCCAGGGGGAAACCAGUCGACUGGGCAUCUACUGACGCUGAGGUGCGAGAGCGUGGGGAGCGAACCGG
rnacentral:rRNA from 1 species